AACAAAAUAAGUUGGGUUAAUUUUUGUAAAUGUACCAUGCAUGCUUAAAACCAAUGUAGCUCCAACAUUGUUCCCUAGAUACAGGAUGAUGGACAGAUGGCUCCAUAGAUGUGAUGGAGAUGGUUUACUAUUGGGAUCUUCAGCAUCCUUCUGAUGUUUUGUUGCUAAGAAUAUGAAUGGCUGAGAGGGGGCUGCGGAGCCUCACCUCCCACUCUGCUUGUGUGUGAGGUUCUUCCUGCCAUCCUGCCAUCAUUUGUUUCUUAUGUUUUGCAGCCAAGACGGACCAUGAGAAACCCUGGGAGCUCAGGAAGGAAGGAGCUGCCAAGAAGCAGGGACAGGGAGCUGGUGGGGAAGACCAGAAAUCAAGUCUGUGAAGGUUCCAGAGAGGACCUGUCCUUGGGAGCUCUGUGCUCAAGCCUUGGAGAGGGAGACGGCAGAGAGCAAGGCUGCCUACAAGCAGCACAGGUAGGUCAUUGUGAUGGAUUUUUUUUCUUUUUGAGCUGGAGUCUGGCUCUGUUGCUCAGACUGGAGUGCAGUUGUGCAAUCUCAGCUUACUGCAACCUCCACCUCCUGGGUUCAAGCAAUUCUCUGCCUCAGGCUCCUGAGUAGAUGGAAUUUAAAGCAUGUGCCACUAUGCCUGACUAAUCUUGUAUUUUUAGUAGAGACAGUUUCUCCAUGUUGAUCAGGCUUCUCUCAAACUUCUGAUCUCAGGUGAUCCACCCACCUUGGCCUCCCAAAGUGCUGGGAUUGCAGGCUUGCGCCACCGCGCUCAGUUGUUAUGGUCAUUUUUAAGGAUGUUUUUGUUUUAAGAUGAAGCUUCAAGUGUCUAGUAAAGAACGUGGUGUUUUAAUUCUUUUUCAAGUCAGUUCUUUCUCUGUCUUCUAGAUGGGAAAUGAGGAGAAAGAGGAGAGUGCCAGGGAGACACAUGAGUGAGGGGCCGGCCCAGAAACGCCUGGGCCUAGAGAACCCUUUCUGUGAAGGCAGCUGCUUAAUUUCUGCCUCACAAUCCACACACCCUGCUUCUCCUUUUGGUGGUGAGGGCUCAGGUGGGGUAAUUGUCAUGUUUUCUGAAAACAGUUUCAAGCACUUAUGAAGAGAAAAGUUGUCCCACUGGGUGGCAGGACCCCAUUUUUCUCAGGUACCCUAGCUGAAUGGCUCUUGGCUGGUCCCCUGUGAAUGGUGGAGCUCAGGCCCCUCCACUGACUGUGGACAUUGCCCCACCCUGACGUCUUGGUUACUUUUAACUGCAAAGAUGAGCUUGCAAGGCAAAUGGGCCAGCUCCCCUUCCCGCCUUGAGUCACUGUGAAAGCUUUAUUUUUCUUUCAUUUGAGAAAAGUAACAACAAUAGCAUUUUAGAAGGGCUGCUGAAAGUGCUGAUGAGAGCAGAGAUUUUCAGGCAAUGUCUUCAUGGAUCAAUAAAGCAGUACCAUAAGAUCUGCUUUAAGAAAAGAAGCAUUUAUUUGCACUCUUUGGAACUUCCUUCAUUGUUUUUGCUUGUUUAAAUUGUUUAUUGUGAACUAUAUCACUCCUUUAGGAAGCUACAUUUCUAUGUAAUCUUACUCCUCUAACAUUUGAAGUGUGACCCUAAAACUUUCCAGUUGAUUUCUUUCCUUUUUCCUUCCUUCCUUCCUUCCUUCCUUCCUUCCUUCCUUCCUUCUUCCUUCCUCCUUCCUUCCAUCCUUCCUUCCUUCCUUCUUCCUUCCUCCUUCCUUUCUUCCUUCCAUCCUUCCUUCCUUCCUUCUUCCUUCCUUCCUUCCGUCCUUCCUUCCAUCCUUCCUUCCUUCUUCUUUUUUUCUCUUUUUUCUCUUUCUUUUCUUUUUGAAAACCUUGCUCUGUCACCCAGGCUGAAGUACAAUGGCACAAUUUUUGCUUACUGCAACCUCCACCUCCCGGGUUCAAGCAAAUCUCCUGCCUCAGCCUCCCAAGUAGCUGGGACUUACAUGCACCUGCCACCAUGCCUGGAAAAUUUUUUCUUUUUGUAUUUUUAGUAGAGACAGAGUUUUACCAUAUUGGCCAGGCUUGUCUCUAACUCUUGACCUUAAGUGAUCUGCCCACCUCAGCCUUCCAAAGUGCUGGGAUUACAAGUGUGAGCCACCGCACCCAGCCUCCAUUUAAUUUCUGUAGCUCUGACCUUUUCUUAUGACUGUUAGUCUCUUUGUGUUAAUUUCUGUUCAUAAAUUUUGACAAUGCCUGGUGAGAUGUGGUGGUUAGAUUCACUGUGAAUCCACAGAAUUUUAAAUGCCCCUACAGCUUGAAGAAAAGGAGCAGUGCUGCUCCUGUCCUGGCCCUAUAGAUGUUCUUCCCAUCCAUGGCUGUUUCUAUUUUAAUUUGGAGUCUGUGCUCACAUGAUGGGUGAUUUCCUUUGAUGUGUACUGGGAACCCCUGAUUUAAAGCUCAUUUCCAGCUGGUUAGAGCCCGACCUGUCCACAGUCUGUUGAGAGAGAAGAAAACCUCUGGACCAGGGCUCUGUGGUGUCUUCCUCAAGGCUGAGGCCCAGAGGGCUUCAGGGUCCUCUGAGGCAUCUGGUCAAUAAACCCUGUGCCUCUGGUAAGAGACCUGAGUGUGGCAAAGAGAGUGAGAUGGCAGCGGAGGGCGUGGAGGGUUUCGUAUUCUGCACAGAACACGCAAGCCAGAUUUAGCCCCAUUCCCUUCUCUGGCCCUUAGCGGAUUCAGGACCUCAUUCAGUUCCCAUGAGGAAUAGCAGCUGCGUCCCAACUGAAAACACAGAGAAGACAAAGGUAAAUGCUGGGGUCAUUUUCACUCUGCCCAUAUCAGGACACUGUAGUCUUUUCCUCCAUCGCCCUCUCCUGGCCUGGCCUCUGCUCUGUGGGUUCUGUGAUACCUUUUCUGUCUGGACUUUUUCAGAAGGAAAAUCUUCCCCAUAAGCUUUUGGCUUCUCCAUUCCCAGCUAGUCAUCUUGAGUGGCACCUCCAGAAGCCAUAAAUGCUUAGGGACUGAGGGCUGAAGGGCUUUUACUGUUCUGCUUCCAGAAAUAACACAAAGAAUGCUGCUGACCUCCACUGCUGUAGGUCUUAUGGCCCAGUGAACUCUGACUGAUCUCUUUUACUCAAGAUGUUGUGGGGUCUAUUUCUGAAAUAUAUGUGGUUUUUAAAUAUUUUGCUGUGAUUUUGUUUGUUUUCUUCUAUAAAGUAGGUGAUUAGCAUUUGAAAUAUCUUCUGUAUUCCCAGAAGUGAUGAAAGUGAAAACUCAUUAAUCCAACAUUAAUAUGUGCUUUGUGCAAUUUUGAAUGCUGUUCGACAAGGUCACUUCCAUAGUUCAUCACAGUCCCAUUCCUGUUGGUAACUGUGUUGGGCAAAAACACCUUCAUCCCCCUUUGGCAGUGCCCCUGAUCUAAUACUCUAAGUGUCAGAAUUUCCAUAUUUGUAAUAGAAAAAUGCCUUGACUGUGAGUUAGUGAAAGUGAAUGUAACCUAUUACCCACAGUGACGAUUCCCAACCAAGGCCUUAAAUGAUGCUCAGCUAUGCUGGUUCUCGUGUGGCCUCUGUACCUUCAACAGCUGCCGAGUCCUAUGAUUACACAUGAUGGGAACUGUACACUUGAAAUCAAAUACAUUUCUAAAACUUGCUUUUUUCAGAAUUCCCACCUUAUUUUUCCAUGGACAAAAGUAUUCUUUAUGUCAUAAUGCGCUUACAAUUUGUAUUACCUGGGAGUUAAAAGAAAUGUUCUAGCCAUGCCUAACUGACUUCUGUAUGUUGAUUGUUCUGUCAGAAAACCCUCUCCCAGUUCUCUUGCAUGUCUUCAGGAGUCCACAUUUCCCCAGAGCCAUUUGUGCUCACAGGUGGCACUCCCAGAGUGAAUAAGACCAUUUUUUAGUAGAGAUGGGGUUUCACCAUGUUGGCCAGGAUGGUCUCUAUCUCCUGACCUUGUGAUCUGUCCGUCUCGGCCUCCCAAAGUGCUGGGAUUACAGGCAUGAGCCAUCACACCCAGCCCCUUAUGUUUUUAAAAACAACUUUAUUGAAAUAGAGUUUAUAUAGCAUACAACUUCCCCACUUAAGGCAUCCAAUUCAAUGGCUUUUAGUAUAUUCACAAAUCCUUUCUUUGUGUGUGUAUGUACCACACUUUCCUGUCCAUUCAUCUGUUGAUGGAUACUUAGGUUGAUUUCGUAUUUCAGUUGUUGUGAAUAGUGCUGCAAUAAACAUGGGAGUGCAGAUGUGUGUUUGAUAUACUGAGUUUCUUUCUCAUGGGCAUGUACCCAGCAGUGUGAUUGCUGAAUCAUAUGGUAGUUCUAUUUUCAGUUUCUCGAGGAUCCUCCAUGCAGUUUUCCAUGGUGGAUAGACUAUUUUACAUUAUCAUCAAGAGUGUUUGAGUGCUCCUGUUUCUCUGUGUCCCUGUCAGCAUUUGUCGUUUUCUGACUUUUUGAUAGUCGGAAUGUUAAUUGGGGUUAGGUGAUAUUUUAUUGUGGUUUUGAUGUGAAUUUCUGUGAUGAUUAGUGAUGUUAAACAUGUUUGCAUUUACCUAUUGGCCAUUUGUAUGUCGUCUCUUGGAAAAUAUCUAUUGAGCUCUAUUGUCCUUUUUUUUUUUUUUACUUCCUCUAACAUGGAUCAUAGGAGACAAUUUUGUUUUUCAAGGCUGUUGUUGCAGAAUGGGG
ensembl:lincRNA